rnacentral:rRNA from 1 species
AUGAGGAAAUAUGAUUAUGCGGUAGUUGAUAAGCCAUCCCUGACAACAUGGAUGAAAGGAGGUCUUGAUUAUAUAGUUCUUAAAAGUUUAGAUAUCGAUGGAAUUUGGAUCAUUUCAAGUGUUCCUGGUCAAAGCAUCGCUCUUGCUCAUUACAUACAGCAGGUCGAUGAUAUGGUUGAGGAAUUUACUGAAAUCAAUCAUAUCAUGGAGAAGACUGGGGACUUCAUAAGGAAAAGAAAGAAGCUCUUUCAACUUAUGGACUUGGCUAAUUCUAAUCUUGCAGAUGUCAUCAUUAGACUUCACCUUUUUGACAGGGAUAUGCAACUGUGGAGAGAAAGAAUGCAGUGA